CUAGUAUCACAAAUAUCAAAAAGCGAUAUAGGAGACAUAACAUGGUCAGACCAUGCCCCGACAACGAUAGAACUAAAAGGAAACUUCCAACACAGAGGCAAAACACCAUGGCGCCUAAAUGACUCCCUAUUGCAAAAUAACACUUUUACCCAAAAAAUUACAAAAACACUCAGCGACUACUUUACGACAAACAGUACACCAGACGUACAACCAACCACAGUGUGGCAGGCCCACAAAGCGGUCAUGCGAGGCCACAUGAUCAGCCAGGCAUCAUAUCUAAAUAAAAAAUCUAAAGAAGAACACCGAACAUUAUUACGCACACUGAGAGACACAACCAAAGCGAACGCCGUACAACCCACCCCACAGAGAACGCAAACAAUCACAGACACUACGGCACGCCUAAAUAAUCUAGAGCUAGCUAAGACCGCACAUAUCCUACAAAAACUCAAACAAACAACGUAUACGCAAGGGAACAAAGCAGGGAAAUAUUUAGCAACACAACUCAGGCAAAAACAAUCUAACGCCAAGAUCCCGUACUUACUCACACAAGGAGGCGAAAAAAU